ensembl:lncRNA
AGCGGGCAUUUUGCGCCACAUGGACGUCUGUCAGCACCAGUCAGCACGAUUCUCGGACUGCCACUUCCCAAAAGGACCCAACCCCUGUGUCACACAACAACCAAGAUGGCUGGCUAGCUAGCUAGCAAGGAGCUAAUCUCUCAGAGACCAGUAAAGAGGUUUUUUUUGCUUUCAGAGGUAAGCCAUUUACAUGGUUUACUGCAUGUCAUUGUGGAGAUAAAUUAACAGAAUUAACAGUUAGGCCUACUCUCGUAAUAUUUUAUUAAGGCCAUGGAUUUUGUUAAUUUUUUAAAACAAAGUUUGUCUGUUUGCUCGUUCUGUUUGAUCAAUUUGGCCUUACAUUUAUUGGAAAUAGUUUUGUGCUUGGUGGUUCUCCGUGACCGUGUAGAGACGGAAGCUACUACCGGGGCUCUAGACUGACUGCGGUCAUGCCAGCCGACUAAUCGAGAUCGGCGGUCAAGCCAGCCGACCCAGUUUUUUGCCGUACCUGUAUAUACUAGCCAUUACGGUAAUAGCGUCUCAGAACUAGUUUAAAGUAAAAGCAUUCGUCGGGUACAUACAAAAAGACAGUCAAUAAAAGUAAAUACUAUCAAAGGAAGUGUACGGCCGUUGUGGUAUUUACUUUCAAAAUAAAAGCCCACCAAACAUUCCAAUCUGAGACAUAUUACAAAUGAUUUUUGAUUCGAUUUAAAAGAAAAUGCCCUGUUAUUCCAUGCUCAUUUCACUUCAGGGUUAUAGUUCACAACCCCGUAGGGUCACCCAAGAAGUUCCAGAACAUUCUGAUGUGGAGUUUCAAAAUAAAAGCCCACCAAAAAUUCCAAUAUGAGACAUAUUACAAUGAUUUUGGAUUCAAUUUAAAGGAAAAUGCCCUGUUAUUCCAGGCUCAUUUCAAUUCAUGGUUAUAGGUCACGACCCCAUAGGGUCACCCAAGAAGUUUCAGAACAUUCUGAUGUGGAGUUUCAAAAUAAAAGCCAACCAAAAUGUCCAAUAUGAGACAUAUUACAUAUGAUUUUGGAUUCAAUUUAAAAGAAAAUGCCCUGUUAUUUCAGGCUCAUUUCACUUCAUGGUUAUAGUUCACGACCCCAUGGGGUCACGCAAAAGGUUUCAGAACAUUCUAAUGUGGACUUUCAAAAUAAAAGCCAACCAAGGUUUCCAAUAUGAGACAUAUUACAUAUGAUUUUGGAUUCAAUUUAAAAGAAAAUGCCCUGUUAUUUUAGGCUCAUUUCACUUCAGGGUUAUAGUUCAAGACCCCAUGGGGUCACGCAAGAAGUUUCAGAACAUUCUGAUGUGGAGUUUCAAAAUAAAAGCCAACCAAGGUUUCCAAUAUGAGACAUAUUACAUAUGAUUUUGGAUUCAAUUUAAAAGAAAAUGCCCUGUUAUUUCAGGCUCAUUUCACUUCAGGGUUAUAGUUCACAACCCCAUGGGGUCACGCAAAAGGUUUCAGAACAUUCUGAUGUGGAGUUUCAAAAUAAAAGCCAACCAAAGUUUCCAAUAUGAGACAUAUUACAUAUGAUUUUGGAUUCAAUUUAAAAGAAAAUGCCCUGUUAUUUCAGGCUCAUUUCACUUCAGGGUCAUAGUUCAAGACCCCAUGGGGUCACGCAAGAAGUUUCAGAACAUUCUGAUGUGGAGUUUAAAAUAAAAGCCAACCAAGGUUUCCAAUAUGAGACAUAUUACAUAUGAUUUUGGAUUCAAUUUAAAAGAAAAUGCCCUGUUAUUUCAGGCUCAUUUCACUUCAGGGUCAUAAGUCCUUUUUCCAUCAAAAAGAUAAUGCGCUUUAAAAUGAUGCGCAUCAAAAGUUAGUGCGACAUAUGUGAUGGAAAAAGGGUUAUAUCGCUCUAACGCCGAUUUUGUCGAAGUUAAUUCGCUCUGCAGAGGUGGUUUUGGGAAAGUUCUAGCGACAUAAAAGUAAUGGAAAACGGCUGAAGCGAUAUAGAAUGUCGCGCAUGCGCAUUGUUGAUGGAAAAAUCAUCUAGCGGGUCAGAAAAAUGCGCUUCAACACGGGGCAUUGUGACACAAUUUUAAUUCACUAUAAUCAUUCUGUCGAUGGAAAACCGUUUAGGCGCUUCUUAUGUCGCUACAAAUUAAUUCGCUUUAAGAGUUAAUUCGCUUGAAAAUCUGAUGGAAAAAGGACUAUAGUUCAAGACCCCAUGGGGUCACGCAAGAAGUUUAAGAACAUUCUGAUGUGGAGUUUCAAAAUAAAAGCCAACCAAGAUAUCCAAUGUGAGAUGAUUUUGGAUUCAAUUUAAAAGAAAAUGCCCUGUUAUUUCAGGCUCAUUUCACUUCAGGGUUAUAGUUCAAGACCCCAUGGGGUCACGCAAGAAGUUUCAGAACAUUCUGAUGUGGAGUUUCAAAAUAAAAGCCAACCAAAGUUUCAGAAC